AUGGCGACUGACACUGAGGAAACCCAGACUGAAAUACUGCACAGACAAAAACUGGAACUGGCUAGGAAUUAGACCUGCACUUCCUCCUUCUUUGACAUGACUAGCCUGGGAGGGGAAAAAAAACCCAAACAAAUAAUUAUAUUUAACUUGCAAGAAGCAUUUUUCUCAUCAAGAUGGUGUUGACUGACUUCCUCAUUGCCAGUUUCUCAGUGAUUGAAUGUUGAAGAUUUAUUUCUCCUGGACUCCCACAAGUUACAACUGGAGAGACUGAAAAGCAAUACAGAAGUCAGCAUGAGAGCUAAACAUCAAAUUCCUCCAGAGUUUUGGAGUGUCUACUUCUGAAACUAAUUAAGUUGGCAGCAAUAAAUUCUCAGCCUUUCCUCACA